GUAUUUUAUGUUUAAAGGCACAGAAGGCCAAUAAAAAGGACAUUCUUUUACAGUAUUUUAUAAUGAGAAACAUAGAACCUUGAAAGAACAUAUUACAAAACAGCUGUGCAAAUGCAGCAGCAGUCUCGGUCACCGAAGAGUGAUUUCCCUUCGACAGAUUGUUCGUUCAAGGCCUACACAAGGUGCACAGGAGGGUUUAAAGAUAGAAUGGAUGUGCACAUGCUUUGAACAAGCCAGCAUCAACCCAUCCCACGUUUUAUUCAAUAAUGAUCCUUCCGCAGGUUCACCUACGGAAA
rnacentral:misc_RNA from 1 species